CAGCGAAUCACUCGGAGCAGAAGAAGGCUGAUUGAAGCAGUUUGUCCCAAAGGGCUCAAUGAGUUGGUCUGAGCUCGGUCCGCAGGGCUCAUUGUAACGCUGUGGUUAAAAUAAAAAACACAAUGUGGAAUCAGGACAUAAACGGCAGGAGCCUCGGCUCCACUGGGCUGUGCACGCGGGCAGUGCGGCCGUACCCUUUGGUAUUGGACCUCUGGUUCGGCAGCAGCAGUUUCAGUCGGCUCCUCUUGGGACUUUUUCUUCCCACAGCAGCAGAUCUUGCAGCAACAGCACAAGAACAUGGAGAGGACGCCAACCCCAAUACUGAGACCAGGUAGCGAAUACGGUUGUGCUGCAACAAUCAGUCAUUUAGUGGAUGGACAGAGAAUGUAUCGGCAAUCAUUUAUGGUAACGCAUCAAUCAUUCAAUUCAAAUCAUCACAUUUUUGACCGUCUGAUUCUCUGAAAUGGGAGAAUAUCCUUCCUGUCUCUGAUUUGAAUUACUGUUCACUUUCAUCGACGGGAAAAAGAAACAUUUCAACAAGAAGUAGAUAAUAGAAAGAACUCAUAUGAUCAGACAAUACUCAAAUAAAACAGUAAUCUGACACUUAUCAAAUAACAGCGGUUACUUACGCUCCAUUUCCAGUGUUACCACAAAGCCUGUGUUGUCAUUCUGAUCUCUGAUCUCAUACCUUCCGUUGCACGACAUCUGGACGACCUUGUUUAAAAUCCCACAUGGCUUUAACAGCUCAAACCCGCUGCAACCGAUUUCAUCCAAACCCUCCUGCAGCACGCCUCCAUAGACUAAGUUAAUCACUGAGUCGCCUUCUGGCCGGAAGUAAAUGUUACAGGAGUUUGGUUCCAGAUUAAAAGUGAAGUUGAAGUUGUAACCAGGUGUCCGUAUUACGGUCCUUAGGAUUUCUGCAACAUAAGACACACAACACCCAAAAUGUUAUGAGUACCAAACACUAGAUUCUAGCUUUGUCUUUCACAUGGCAAUUUUUCAAUGAUGAUACAUUUUUUAGUUGCUCAAAAAUAUUUCCUCCAAAAUAUGACUUGAUACACUUUGUGUGCACAACAUAAUAUUGAGUGCAUUGGUUUGUACUCCACUAUUGCUCCCUUCAAACAAAAACUUUGAGCCAAUCAGUUGACGACAAUUAAUUUAGACCAGAAAGCAAAGCAGCGACGAGUUGGUCAGUGGUGAACAUUUAAAAACACAGUCACCUGACACUUCGUAAAAAAAAAACACUUACGAUUCAUAUCCAGUGACACCAUUAAGGCCGUGUUGUCAUUCUGAUCUCGGAUCUCAUAGCGUCCGUCGCAAGAAAUCUGGAGGACUUUAUUUGAAAUCCCACAUGGAUGUAAAAAAUCAAACCCUUUGCAAUAAAGUUCAUCGGAAUCCCCCUGAAGCACGCCGCCACGAAUUAUUUUAUUCUCCAACAUUCUCAGCCGGCGAGUUCUGCUUGGGAAGAAGUAAAUGUUGCAGGAGUCUGGUUUCAGAUUGAAGGUGAAGCUGAGGCGAUCACCAGGUUCCGGACUAUAGGUCCUCGUGGUUGCUGGACAAUAAAAGAGAGAGUUUAUCAGAGUGAUAUUGCAAAAUAAUAGAUGAGAGCCAAGACGGAUAUUCACCUUUUACUUCAAGUGUGUAGGUGGAAAUUUCUUUCAGAUCUUUGUCUCUACUUAUGUAGUGGCCACUGUCAUUCUGAGUUAACUUAUGUAUCGCAAAGAUACUACCCGUCAUUACAAACUUCCUAUCCAAUGUGAUUACGCGUUGAUCCUUUUUCCACAAUAUUGUCACAUUUGAGUUGUGCUCCGGGUGGAACUCUAAGACGUGAGGGUUUCCAUGCAGCAUAAAGUAAUAACUCUCCCCAUACUUCUUCACCACGCCAGUGACACGAGAGACUCCUGAUGAGAGAAAGUCCAAAAGAAACAUUGUUAGUGUAGGAUAUCUUUUUGGCCUUCAAAAUAAAAUUGCCCCCAAAAUCAUUCAACAUGGAUCUGAAAUUUAGACUUCAAAACAUUGCAAUGUAUUAUCUUUACCUACAUAAUAAAAUAAAUCAUUUAAAAUAUCAUCUGAGUUCAAAAUAAGAUCAUUUUUGUGAUCACGGUGUUUUUUAAAUAACAUCGUUAUGCAUAUUCCAUUAAGGUAUUACCAUCGCGGUUAUUAUGAGGCAGUGAGCAGAGAAGCAGUCGAGUAAACCAGUGAGCACGAGACGUGAUUUCAACGUGGAAAUUUAGUUUUCUGUAAAUGUUACAAAUGUGCACGUCGUUUCUUUGUAAACCUCUAUAAUAAUUCUAAAGCACAAAGUAGAAGAUCAAAAUCUGCUCUGAACGUAUACUCAAAAAACUUUACUUUUGAACCUAUUUUCAACGGCGUCGAUACACAUCAUGCCCGCUGGGAGGGAGUUUAAUGUAUAUUAAAUUAUCAUUACUAACGUAUAAACACCUCUAAAUGGAGAUGUGUUUAAUGCAUG
ensembl:lncRNA